UGUGAUAAGUAAUGUGAAUUGCAGAAUUCAGUGAAUCAUUGAAU
rnacentral:rRNA from 1 species